CAGAUGCCAGCAUGAAGGUGAAGCAGUGCUGGCAGAUUGUGUCAAGUUGACAUUUAGAAGGAACCAUCACAGAAUGAAGGAGAGCCUGUCAGACCUGGGAUUGAUGUCCUCUCCCAGACUGCAGAGGGAUUUUUAUCUUGAUUUCUCCAGAGGAUUCUGAGGAGCCAAUUUGGAAACGACUUAGAAGGACACCCCCUCAACCCCCACCCUGAAAGUGGUGUUCUGGAAGUAUGGCAGACAGAUGGGAGCACGGACUUGCAGCUUUUACCAAUUAUUGGUGGUGUGAAAUUGGACAUCAACAGGCCAGAACUGACAGCAAGUUACCACGUGACAAGUAAUGGCUUAGCUGGUCUUGCACUCGCUCAACUGGCCAGGAAGAACGAUGCUGCAACAGGAUCCUUCUGCACACGUUUAUUCAGUCCUGU